rnacentral:lncRNA from 1 species
CCCUCGUGAUUGUGAGUAGCCAAAGUCGGUUCCGCUGAUGAGAUUGCUGCUGUGCAGGUUUCCGCCGAGCGGUGAAUGUGGCUGUUAAUGAACUACUAUUCCUUGAGAAAUGUGUCGCUCACUUGCAAAACGUGAGGAAAUUUGUGGCUUUAAUAAUGCUCUGUAGCACAUUCGUGCUGAACCAAUAUGUUAGGUUUUUUCUUCAGAGAUUCUGAUGGCUUUGUGAGCUCUAUGAUCCCCCGCUAAAAAUUGUCAUAGUUUGUUCUUUCCUUUUUUGUGGUACCAUCGUAAUGUUGUGUAAUGCACAAAGUUGAACUCUGCUUGUGUGAUGGCAUGGCAAUAUGACAGCUGCUAUACCUGGGAAGUAUAUAUGCAUUUUCUCUCCUGCAAAUUUGAAUUCUAGCUUCAGGUGAGUAUACAUGCUUUUGGCUGGCAAAGUGUGCAGAACGUGAAAAUCGUGACGGAAGCAACGGAACACGCUCGGGCCGUCGCGUUGUACCAGAGCCCUUUUGUUUAUAUAUAUAUGAACUCAGGCUUUUAGCCGGAAGUUCAGCGUUUGGGUUCAUGUCUAAGACUAAGGUGCCGGCAUUUCAGCUUCAGAAAUACAUCCAAGACCUGUUUGGACUUUGGACCAUGAGUAAACGGAAGCUUCACUUUUUUUUUU